rnacentral:rRNA from 1 species
GACGUAGGGCGCGAGCGUUGUCCGGAUUUAUUGGGCGUAAAGAGCUCGUAGGCGGCUUGUCGCGUCGACUGUGAAAACCCGUGGCUCAACCAUGUGGUCUGCAGUCGAUACGGGCAGGCUAGAAUUCGGUAGGGGAGACUGGAAUUCCUGGUGUAGCGGUGAAAUGCGCAGAUAUCAGGAGGAACACCGGUGGCGAAGGCGGGUCUCUGGGCCGAUAUUGACGCUGAGGUGCGAGAGCGUGGGGAGCGAACAGG